rnacentral:lncRNA from 1 species
AAUAUUAAUAACUAAUACAAAUAUCUUUAAGAGAUAGUUAAGAAUAGAUUUUAGCAAAAAUUACCCUAAAAUAACAAAAAUUGAUACUCGGAAAAGAUCAAUUGUGAAUCAAGAUCAAAAUCAAAACUUGAAGCACAAAAUUAUAUACCUAUGGCAACUUUGGAGUUCUUUAGUUCAUCAAAGAAUAGGAUUUGAAAGAAAACUUGUGAAAGUAUUUUUGAGAGUUUAUUUUAUAUGAUUUAAAGAUAUAUUGAGGU